rnacentral:tRNA from 1 species
AUUUAAAUAGUUUAAUAAAAAUUUUGAUUUGUGGGAUCAAAGAUAUAGUAAUAUUUUAAAUA